AACGCUGGCGGCGUGCCUAAUACAUGCAAGUCGAACGCGCAGCGAAAGGUGCUUGCACCUUUCAAGCGAGUGGCGAACGGGUGAGUAACACGUGGAUAACCUGCCUCAAGGCUGGGGAUAACAUUUGGAAACAGAUGCUAAUACCGAAUAAAACUUAGUAUCGCAUGAUACAAAGUUGAAAGGCGCUACGGCGUCACCUAGAGAUGGGUCCGCGGUGCAUUAGUUAGUUGGUGGGGUAAAGGCCUACCAAGACAAUGAUGCAUAGCCGAGUUGAGAGACUGAUCGGCCACAUUGGA
rnacentral:rRNA from 1 species